UCCUAGGGAAAAGUUGAAGAAUCAAAAGAGAAGUCUCUCCACAAAGGGUAUAGUAUUAUGUAGGCUGAGAGGUUGUUCUUCUGUAACCUCUCAAGCCGAUCUCUUGAAUGCAAGUGAUCACUCUACACCAGCUCUAGCCGAGCUUCCGACCUCCUGUAACUCUGCAGCAGGUCUUGCCGUGCUUUCGACCUCCUGUAACUCUGCAGCAACUCUUGCCGAGCUCGCCGACCUCCUGUAACUCUGCAGCAAAUCUUGCCGAGCUCUCUGACCUGGUGUAAUUCUGCAGUAGAUCAGCUUUAACGAGUGUGAGCACUCUUCUUCUAGAAGUGCGAACACAAUUGCCGGACUGCCGAGCUCCUGUGAUUCACUCCUACCAAACUUACGAGAAUGUGGCAAUUAUUCUGUGCAGAGUGCACACUUUGUUUUUGAAAAAUAAUUAGCCGCACACUAUUUCGGCUUUUCAUUCUUAUUUAUACUGAAUCAAAUCAAC
rnacentral:lncRNA from 1 species